AGGAAAUAGAUACCCGGGUAGUCCACGCCGUAAACGAUGGGCACUAGGUGCUUGGGGGAGCGACCCUCUGAGUGCCGGCGCUAAACGCAUUAAGUGCCCCGCCUGGGGAGUACGGCCGCAAGGCUGAAACUCAAAGGAAUUGACGGGGGCCCGCACAAGCGGUGGAGCAUGUGGUUUAAAUUCGACGCAACGCGAAGAACCUUACCUAGGCUUGACAUGCACGGGAAAGCUUUGAGAAACCAGAGCCCCUCUUCGGAGCUCGUGCACAGGUGCUGCAUGGCUGUCGUCAGCUCGUGUCGUGAGAUGUUGGGUUAAGUCCCGCAACGAGCGCAACCCCCGCUCCCA
rnacentral:rRNA from 1 species